rnacentral:piRNA from 1 species
UACAUAAGCGGUAAGAGUCCA